GAGUUUGAUCCUGGCUCAGGACGAACGCUGGCGGCGUGCUUAACACAUGCAAGUCGAACGGAAAACUAAUUUCGGUUAGUUUUUAGUGGCGAACGGGUGAGUAACGCGUGGGCAACCUGCCCUUUAGUUGGGGACAACAUUCCGAAAGGGAUGCUAAUACCGAAUGAGCUUCAUUAGCCGCAUGGCUUUUGAAGGAAAGAUGGCCUCUUUACAAUGCUAUCGCUAAAGGAUGGGCCCGCGUUUGAUUAGUUAGUUGGUAGGGUAACGGCCUACCAAGACGAUGAUCAAUAGCCGGUCUGAGAGGAUGAACGGCCACAUUGGGACUGAGACACGGCCCAAACUCCUACGGGAGGCAGCAGUGGGGAAUCUUCCGCAAUGGACGAAAGUCUGACGGAGCAACGCCGCGUGAGUGAUGAAGGUUUUCGGAUCGUAAAACUCUGUUGUUUAGGACGAAUGUGCUAUAUAUUAAUACUAUAUAGUAUUGACGGUACUAAACGAGAAAGCCACGGCUAACUACGUGCCAGCAGCCGCGGUAAUACGUAGGUGGCAAGCGUUGUCCGGAAUUAUUGGGCGUAAAGAGCAUGUAGGUGGAUUAUUAAG
rnacentral:rRNA from 1 species